GAAAGACUGUGCCGCUGGUCAAUGUGUAGGCUACCCGGUCACGUGGCUUACUUACAAUUGACCAACCAGAGACAGGUCUACAUGAUAGGCUACAGCCUAUUGCAUCAUUAAGAAAAAUAGCGCCAGAACCAAACACCAUGACCAUCCCAUUCCAGUCAUAGUACUCAUAGAUCUACUUCAAGAUUGUGUUGAUUUGUGAUUAACUCGACUCUAUUCUAACAACUUUGGAAUGUGUGCGUCAAGCAAAGACUCUGGGAACCAAAGAGUGAAAGAAUGAUGGCAUCACUAUGAUCACUUCUUGCUGGAUCUGUCCAAGAGUCAAUGAGUACAGGUGGACCAUGUUGGAAAAUAACUUUCAGUCAAGACUCAAGUUGAGACAAGAGCUCCAUUGAUGUUAUUGAUCAAACUGAACAUGUUCUAGAGAUACUGGAGAAAAGAUUUGAGUGCAGUACAGACUCAUUAAUUAAAAGAAGCAGAGAUAAAUACAAUCAGGAUUGGGUAUGAAGCAAAUUUCCCAAUGGCAAAUAAUGUAUCACUGUUGGAAAUAGAAGUGAAACUGAAGUAUGAAGAUUCUCAUGAAAAUUUGAUCUAUCCAGUGAAAACAGCAUUAAGAGAACAAUAGUAUGGAUUAUAACUUGGCUGGACUGGACAUGGCACAAACAGAAAAUAAAUGUAUUGAAUUUUCAAUCCAAAUUAUGGAUAUUAGAUUAUUCAAGUGAGUUACCCAAGUCUGCUGUCAAAUCAAAUAACUUAGAGAAAGUACUUGAACUUGGCACAUGUGAUGGCACAGAAAUCGUAAAAAAAGAAGGAUGAUGGCUUCAACUCUGAAGGAACAUCCCAAACAUGUAAAACAUUUUACAAACAAACCUAAUCAAAGUUUAUAAAUGUUUAAAAAAAGUAAGAUGCACAAGCAAAUUUAUUUACAUACUACAGAUAUUAGAACUAAUGACUAAUGGAAAAAAAAAACUACCUAUCUAGAC